AAAAAGAAGGAGUCAGCUGUCAACCUGCAAGUCAACAGUGGCCUCUCCAUACAGGGGAUCUUCCAUUCCUGCCUUUGAGCUUGGGCCGCCCCCACAACAGGGCUGUGAAGAUGUGGCUGCACCCCCCAGUGCCCCUGACCUUGAGAGCAAAGUGAGAAGAGAAAGAAAAAGAGGAGCGAGAAGAUGACCUCCUAGGACCCCUGCCCCAGGGAAGCCCUGUUCCUCAGAUGCGCAUCACAGACCCCAGGGGCCUUUUCCUCUAGAAGGUGUCCACACAAACAGCCAUGGGGCCCUCAAAAGGUGGCUCCCUUGGCACAGGAGAACACGCAACCACACGGACCCGCUGAGGACACAUGUGUGCAGCGUGAGCAUUGCCAUCAGUGCUGCGUGACAGUCACCUCUUCUCCAGACCCUGCCUGGAGUCCCUGACCCGUCUCACCAUCAGGUGAUCUCAGGUUUAUUGAAGGAAAUCAGAUGCAGCAGCAAACACGCUUCUCAGGCUCAGAAACAAAACCCUCGCCACUGAGCUGAUGAGUCUCUCUGUGCUUCUGAACAGCGUGGAAAAGGUUAACGAAUGAGGCUCAGGCAGGCUGCGGGCUCCUUCAAUCGAGGCAUCAAAAGCCUGAGCAGUUUUAACAGAGGCUGUUGAUGGGCAUGUUUCAAAGCAAACAGCAUCACGGCCCUGACAGGCCAAUGA
rnacentral:lncRNA from 1 species